rnacentral:rRNA from 1 species
AGUAACACGUGGAUAACCUACCUAUAAGACUGGGAUAACUUCGGGAAACCGGAGCUAAUACCGGAUAAUAUUAUGAACCGCAUGGUUCAAAGGUGAAAGACGGUCUUGCUGUCACUUAUAGAUGGAUCCGCGCUGCAUUAGCUAGUUAGUAAGGUAACGGCUUACCAAGGCAACGAUGCAUAGCCGACCUGAGAGGGUGAUCGGCCACACUGGAACUGAGACACGGUCCAG